CAGCACAGGAGAGCUUGCUCUCUGGGUGGCGAGUGGCGGACGGGUGAGGAAUACAUCGGAAUCUACUUUUUCGUGGGGGAUAACGUAGGGAAACUUACGCUAAUACCGCAUACGACCUACGGGUGAAAGCCGGGGACCUUCGGGCCUGGCGCGGAUAAAUGAGCCGAUGUCCGAUUAGCUAGUUGGCGGGGUAAGAGCCCACCAAGGCGACGAUCGGUAGCUGGUCUGAGAGGAUGAUCAGCCACACUGGAACUGAGACACGGUCCAGACUCCUACGGGAGGCAGCAGUGGGGAAUAUUGGACAAUGGGCGCAAGCCUGAUCCAGCCAUACCGCGUGGGUGAAGAAGGCCUUCGGGUUGUAAAGCCCUUUUGUUGGGAAAGAAAAGCAGCCAAUUAAUACCUGGUUGUUCUGACGGUACCCAAAGAAUAAGCACCGGCUAACUUCGUGCCAGCAGCCGCGGUAAUACGAAGGGUGCAAGCGUUACUCGGAAUUACUGGGCGUAAAGCGUGCGUAGGUGGUUGUUUAAGUCUGUCGUGAAAGCCCUGGGCUCAACCUGGGAAUUGCGAUGG
rnacentral:rRNA from 1 species